rnacentral:rRNA from 1 species
GACGAACGCUGGCGGCGUGCUUAACACAUGCAAGUCGAACGGAAAGGCCCCUUUGGGGGUACUCGAGUGGCGAACGGGUGCGUAACACGUGAGUAACCUGCCCUUGACUUCGGGAUAACUUCAGGCAACUGGGGCUAAUACCGGAUAGGAAUCCUUGCUGCAUGGUGGGGGUUGGAAAGCUUCGGCGGUUUUGGCUGGACUCGCGGCUUAUCAUCUUGUUGGUGGGGUAGUGGCUUACCAAGGCUUUGACGGGUAGCCGGCCUGAGAGGGCGACCGGCCACAGUGGUACUGAGAUACGGCCCAGACUCCUACGGGAGGCAGCAGUGGGGAAUAUUGCACAAUGGGCGGAAGCCUGAUGCAGCAACGCCGCGUGCGGGAGGACGGCCUUCGGGUUGUAAACCGCUUUCAGCAGGGGCGAAGCUUGUGGUGACGGUACCUGCAGAAGAAGCACCGGCUAACUACGUG